UGUCAAUUAUCUGUUCAUUAGGCAAGAUAGAUAACUCGUCAAUUUGUCAAAGAUGGACGAUAACCUUGCAUGGUGGGCUGUUGUGUUUACAUAAUUCAAAGUCCAAGGCUGGUUCUUCUCUGACAUGAAAAUGUGCAUGCUUAGGGCCUUUCUGUCAAUCAUUCUUCGGUAUAUUUCGCGCGGUUGAGUAAUUAUAACAUUACGUCAUCAAAAUCUUGGUUCAAUAAAAUUGUAAGUAAAUUUAGGUUAGUAGGUAAAGUAAGGUUUACA